CUGCCAUCAGCGAUCAGGGAAGCUGACUCUGUGGAGCUAUUCAAAGGGAAGCUCAAAACGCACCUCUACAAUCUUGCAUUUGGAGUGUGAAAACAACAGAUGCGAAGUGAAGACUACUCUGUUUGCUUGUGCUUUUCUUAUUACAUUAUUCAUUCCCACUAUGUACUUUUCCGUUCUAUAAGUUAUCUGGUUCACUUGCACCUCUCUGUAACUAUAGUGGUUCUGUGGAGUGCCUUACUGAUGACCUCAACAUUGCCUUGUCUGUUGCCAUUGAUUCAGUUGCUCCGAACGUAACUAAAAAACGAACAUUGAAAAAACCAGCCCCUUGGUUAAAUACAGAAACGCGCAUUUUGAAGCGAAAUUGCAGGAUCCUUGAACGCAAAUGGCGCUCGACUAAACUUGAGGUCUUUCAUCUUGCAUGGCAUAACAGUCUGCUCACCUAUAAGGGUGCGCUGACUAUUGCCAGGAAUGCCUACUUUUCCAGUAUCAUCAAUUUGAAUAGAAACAAUCCUAAGUUUCUUUUUGACACGGUGAGGAGUCUCACUCAGAAACAAACUCAGACCGUAGGCUCAUCGAUCGUGGCAGGUGAAUUCAUGGAUUUCUUUGAGAAUAAGAUUCAAUCAAUUAGAGAGGAAAUUGAUGCUUGCCAUGCGGCUAAUCCUACACAUCCUGUGGGGCAGGAUGGGGUCCUGCCAAGUAGGAUGGUGAACUCUGACUCAACUCUCUUGGAGUUCAAGGCAAUUCCUUUGGUGGAACUUGAAAGGGUGAUAAAAGCAUCAAAGCCAACAACUUGUAUGUUGGAUCCUCUCCCUUCCAGGGUUCUUAAGGAACUUCUUCCAACGGUGGGGCCU
rnacentral:lncRNA from 1 species